rnacentral:tRNA from 1 species
GGGGAUUUAGCUGAGCAGCAUAAGCACCUGCCUGACAAGCAUGAGGUCAUGAUUUUGAUCCCCA